GAUGAACGCUGGCGGCGUGCCUAAUACAUGCAAGUCGAGCGAACGGACGAGAAGCUUGCUUCUCUGAUGUUAGCGGCGGACGGGUGAGUAACACGUGGAUAACCCACCUAUAAGACUGGGAUAACUUCGGGAAACCGGAGCUAAUACCGGAUAAUAUUUUGAACCGCAUGGUUCAAAAGUGAAAGACGGUCUUGCUGUCACUUAUAGAUGGAUCCGCGCUGCAUUAGCUAGUUGGUAAGGUAACGGCUUACCAAGGCAACGAUGCAUAGCCGACCUGAGAGGAUGAUCGGCCACACUGGAACUGAGACACGGUCCAGACUCCUACGGGAGGCAGCAGUAGGGAAUCUUCCGCAAUGGGCGAAAGCCUGACGGAGCAACGCCGCGUGAGUGAUGAAGGUCUUCGGAUCGUAAAACUCUGUUAUUAGGGAAGAACAUAUGUGUAAGUAACUGUGCACAUCUUGACGGUACCUAAUCAGAAAGCCACGGCUAACUACGUG
rnacentral:rRNA from 1 species